AUACGUAGGGUGCGAGCGUUGUCCGGAAUUACUGGGCGUAAAGAGCUCGUAGGUGGUUUGUCGCGUCGUCUGUGAAAUUCCGGGGCUUAACUCCGGGCGUGCAGGCGAUACGGGCAUAACUUGAGUACUGUAGGGGAGACUGGAAUUCCUGGUGUAGCGGUGAAAUGCGCAGAUAUCAGGAGGAACACCGGUGGCGAAGGCGGGUCUCGGGGCAGUAACUGACGCUGAGGAGCGAAAGCAUGGGUAGCGAACAGGAUUAGAUCCCCUGGUAGUCCACGCCGUAAACGGUGGGCGCUAGGUGUAGGGGUCUUCCACGACUUCUGUGCCGUAGCUAACGCAUUAAGCGCCCCGCCUGGGGAGUACGGCCGCAAGGCUAAAACUCAAAGGAAUUGACGGGG
rnacentral:rRNA from 1 species